UGGCACUGUGCCACAAAAAAAUCAUUGCUCCAGAAAAGAGAAAAAAUGCUCUUCACUCUGUGCCAAGGAACCAGAGCAUGUGCGGCCACUACAAAUGGCAAGAAGGCAGCGAGCAGUCCUUGCACAGAUUCAUACCAUGAUGGUGGAGGUAGGAGAGGCCCAGCACAUCAUCUGCACGAACAGUUACCAGCCACUGUAAGAGAGUAAGAGCACUCCUAAAGAUCAGCAGGCAACAACUCAGAGAGCUUGCACGGGCUUGCAACAACUUGCUAGUAAAAUUUGCUGAGGAAAAUGUAAGACAGGAAGUAAUAAGUAAGUAAGUGCAAUGCCAUUAUAAUUUUUUCCUUUUUUUUUUUUUAUUU